rnacentral:rRNA from 1 species
CCUACGGGUGGCAGCAGUGGGGAAUAUUGGGCAAUGGGCGCAAGCCUGACCCAGCAACGCCGCGUGAAGGAAGAAGGCUGUCGGGUUGUAAACUUCUUUUCUCAGGGACGAAGCAAGUGACGGUACCUGAGGAAUAAGCAACGGCUAACGACGGGCCAGCAGCCGCGGUAAUACGUAGGUGGCAAGCGUUAUCCGGAUUUACUGGGUGUAAAGGGCGUGUAGGCGGGAACGCAAGUCAGAGGUGAAAACCACGGGCUCAACCUGUGGCCUGCAUUUGAAACGGUUUUUCUUGAGUACUGGAGAGGCAGGCGGAAUUCCUCGUGUAGCGGUGACAUGCGUAGAUAUUAAGAGGAACCCCAGUGGCGAAGGCGGUCUGCUGGACCGCAACUGACGCUGAGGCGCGAAAGCGUGGGGAGCAAACAGGAUUAGAUACCCGAGUAGUC